UGUUAAAAAUUUCAUCCACUUGUACUAUUAAAAACUGGGAUAGCUUAUGAAAUAACCUGACAGUAAUACAUGGUGUGCCACAUGUAUCUCAUGUUGAUGUAUAAGGACUAGUUUUUAAUAGUAAAAAUGGAGAAAGUUUAAAUA
rfam:Gossypium hirsutum cultivar TM-1 chromosome 18, whole genome shotgun sequence